rnacentral:rRNA from 1 species
GAUGAACGCUGACAGAAUGCUUAACACAUGCAAGUCAACUUGAACUUCGGUUUGGGUGGCGGACGGGUGAGUAACGCGUAACGAACUUGCCUCACAGAUAGGGACAACAUUUGGAAACGAAUGCUAAUACCUGAUAUUAUGAUUAUAUGGCAUCGUAUAAUUAUGAAAGCUAUAUGCGCUGUGAGAGAGCUUUGCGUCCCAUUAGCUAGUUGGAGAGGUAACGGCUCACCAAGGCGAUGAUGGGUAGCCGGCCUGAGAGGGUGAUCGGCCACAAGGGGACUGAGACACGGCCCGUACGCCUACGGGAGGCAGCAGUGGGGAAUAUUGGACAAUGGACCAAGAGUCUGAUCCAGCAAUUCUGUGUGCACGAUGAAGUUUUUCGGAAUGAAAAGGGCUUUCAGUUGGGAAGAAAAAAAUGACGGUACCAACAGAAGAAGUGACGGCUAAAUACGUG